UUCAGAGCAGAGAAAAGAAAGCAGAGGUGCUUUAUGCUGGUGCCAGUGUAAAACCCUCCUGACAGUGCCCUGGUACAGAUGGACACCACUGCCUCUCACAGGCCAGAGCCUCAGCCUGUGUGUUUUGGAACAGCUUCACUGAUCCUGCAGCCUGGGAUCUGCAGAGCACAGUUUUUAUUUCCCAGCACUCAGAUAUCUUGGGAAAAGCCACCUGGAGCUCAAAGUGCUGUUGCAGUUGUUUCUGGCAGAGAUGCCUGUUCCCCAAAUACACCUCAGCAUCCAGAUACACAGUGGCAAGCACUUCUACAGUGAUACAACACAAAUUUGUGCUCACAGCAUACACAGAGGCUUGGCACAGGAAAAGCAGAGGAGAACCAGCAAUGAGUGACAAGAAUUACUUUUGUAGAUGCAGUUCUAGCUUCAGUGUGGAACUCUGCUGUGCAGAGAAGGGACUUGAGCCAGCUUUCUUCUCUUGCUGUGUGACAGAGCCACCAUGCCAUAGAUAAUGCUGGAUUGAUUCUCUCCCUUUGUGUUUGAAAUUUCAGGCAGAAUUUCAGAAUCCUCCACUGGCCAAGAAUCACUGAAACUGCCCUUCCCAAAGGAGAAGUUUCAGCCUUUCCACAAAACAGUUCUGUCAACGGAACAAAAUAUCAUGACCAGUGGACUUGUACCAUUUCCUAAAGCAGCCAAGAGGCUUCAGGACCAUGAUAUUAAUUUUCAGAACUUUAUACUCUUAGAAACCUUAAUCUUACUUCAUUUCCUUGAGGGUGAGAACAGUCAGCAUGAAUUUACCACAGGUCAGAUGAAGAUUAGAGCAAGCCAAAGGCAGAGAGGAGCAUGCAACCUCAGCCCAACCCUGAUGGCUUUAGGAACAUGGUGUUUUCUGAGCCUUGGCAGGGCUGACUGACUCCAAUACAGGAGCUCUUAAAUCAGCACACAUUACAUUUAUUGGAAAUGCAUCUGCCAAGAAUUUCCUCCUAAUGAAGCAAAUAAAAAGAACUGAAAUUGCUUAGUAUAUACCUUUAGAAAAUUACUCAUCUUAAUGUUAAACCUUAACAUAUUGGCACUGCUACAAUUAAUAGCCUGUUUGAAUUUCCCUUACAGUUUCUAUUACAGGAGGCUCAUAAUUCAGGCAUAACAAUCUUACUCUAGGCUGAAACUUGUUAUUAUUUAGUGUCUGAACCCAUUUCAUGCAGCUUUUCUGCACAACCCAGCUCACCUCCCACUCCCUAAGAGUAACAGAUGUGGGGUUCCCCAACAUAACCUGCUGGUAAGGGGCCAGCCAGCUCAGGUGUAAAAUUUGCAAGAGUGUAUUUUUAAAAGAAACAGCUGAGUCUGUUCAAGAGCAGGUGGGGUAACAGCUCAGGAAGUGGUUCUUCUAUCUAAAUAUUUAAACACAAUCAGAGAAUGACCCUGCUCAGGGACAGGUCAGAGAAAUCAGCCAGAGAAUGGAAACAGAAUCAUGUCUGGAGAGAUUUUCACCACAGCAAAAGAAGUGAUGACUUUGGGAUUCCUUCCAGAUUGGUCAUUACUGCUCAUUCUGGCUCAGGUUGUGACUGCAAACAUCAAAACCAGAUCUGGGCAGGAUCAAACCACUCUGCCAUGUAAAUCUGUUCCACCAGCCGCAGAUGCAAGCUGCACUCCUGCUGAAUUACCCAGAACAAUGAUGAUGCUACGAAAGGUUUUCUACCAUGACAUGAAAACAGAGCAUCUUAACUGGCAAAUUAAAUUUAUGUGAGAUAAAUGGUUUGCAGGUGGAACACAAGAUUUUUCUAGUUGGGCAGCUGGAGUUCAAAAUCCCAAUUUACUAUACCUCAAAUCCACUACACAUUUCCUUUUCCUUGAGGCAUUACAGGCUUUCUACACUCUCACUUUUACAACUAUUUCUUUGAAUGUUUUUGAUAAUUUGCUGAAAUUUAAAAGUCCAUUCCUUGAACUCUCUUCUAAUUUUUGAAAGUUUUAACGAGUCAGAAUUAAGAUCUACUUUUUUGAAAAACAAUUCUCCAAAACACUGCCAGAGUUUUACCUUUUACUUUGCACUAAAAUUGCAAAAUAUUGGUAAAGGUGACUUAAUAUAUCACUUAUCAUACUAUCUGCAAACCCACAAGGAUCAUGACUUUGAAAAAGCAAAUUAUGGAAAAAUAAGUAGUAGGGAAUGGUUGUCAUCCAGUAGAAUGGAUCUGGCAGUAAAGAUCUCCAGUUUCCAUUCCCAGCCUUGCCUCUCACAGUAUCACCAUGAAAGUCACUUUCCUUCUCUGUUCCUCACCUUCCCCAUUUGUAAAACAUGAAUAUCGUGACUGACUUCACAGAAAGCCUCCAUGAUUCACUUAAUCAAAAUGCUCAACUGAAAAGUUUAUAUGAACCUUCAUUGAGGAAAAGAAAAUAAAACCAGCAGUUGAUGUAGUUGCCAACAAGAAAAAUCCCAAGAAGAAAAUGAACUGUAAAUUAUAAUUUUUGAGAACUUUACCAAACUGUAAAGGUUAUGACCCAUGACAUCAUGCUGAAACAGAGUUCAUGUGAAAAUACAACUCUACAGAUGAUCAUUGAUGAGCACUGAACAGGCAGCCACCAAGGAAGCUGUGUUUAUAGGAAUCACUUGAUCACAAAACACAGUGUUCUUUUUCAAUUUUAUGUGCAACAUGUCAGAGCAUGAUGAGAUUCCACCUAUUCUUGCACACUGAUGCAGAUUUCUCAUAAAAACAAAAAUCUCCCAGGUUAAAUCCACAUAUUUUAAGUCAGAGAUUGGCCGAGUUUUUCAUUAGCCUUAAAAUUAAACCUGUUUUUUAGGGUUUUAAAAAAAAUCUCUUUUCUUGCAUGAGAGACAA